rnacentral:rRNA from 1 species
UACGUAGGGGGCUAGCGUUGUCCGGAAUCAUUGGGCGUAAAGCGCGCGUAGGCGGCCCGGUAAGUCCGCUGUGAAAGUCAAAGGCUCAACCUUUGAAUGUCAGCGGAUACUGCCGGGCUAGAGUCCGGAAGAGGCGAGUGGAACUCCUGGUGUAGCGGUGGAAUGCGCAGAUAUCAGGAAGAACACCAACGGCGAAGGCAGCUCUCUGGGACGGUACUGACGCUGAGACGCGAAAGCGUGGGGAGCAAACAGG